AGUUAAACCCAAAGAAAGUAUUAUGUUUUGAAAACAUAAAUAUAGAGGUUAAAUUCCUCUUUUAACUU
rnacentral:tRNA from 1 species